rnacentral:rRNA from 1 species
UUAAGUUAUUAAGGGCGCACGGUGGAUGCCUUGGCACUAGAAGCCGAUGAAGGACGUUACUAACGACGAUAUGCUUUGGGGAGCUGUAAGUAAGCUUUGAUCCAGAGAUUUCCGAAUGGGGAAACCCAGCAUGAGUUAUGUCAUGUUAUCGAUAUGUGAAUACAUAGCAUAUCAGAAGGCACACCCGGAGAACUGAAACAUCUUAGUACCCGGAGGAAGAGAAAGAAAAUUCGAUUCCCUUAGUAGCGGCGAGCGAAACGGGAAGAGCCCAAACCAACAAGCUUGCUUGUUGGGGUUGUAGGACACUCUAUACGGAGUUACAAAGGACGACAUUAGACGAAUCAUCUGGAAAGAUGAAUCAAAGAAGGUAAUAAUCCUGUAGUCGAAAAUGUUGUCUCUCUUGAGUGGAUCCUGAGUACGACGGAGCACGUGAAAUUCCGUCGGAAUCUGGGAGGACCAUCUCCUAAGGCUAAAUACUCUCUAGUGACCGAUAGUGAACCAGUACCGUGAGGGAAAGGUGAAAAGCACCCCGGAAGGGGAGUGAAAUAGAACCUGAAACCGUGUGCUUACAAGUAGUCAGAGCCCGUUAAUGGGUGAUGGCGUGCCUUUUGUAGAAUGAACCGGCGAGUUACGAUUUGAUGCAAGGUUAAGCAGUAAAUGUGGAGCCGUAGCGAAAGCGAGUCUGAAUAGGGCGUUUAGUAUUUGGUCGUAGACCCGAAACCAGGUGAUCUACCCUUGGUCAGGUUGAAGUUCAGGUAACACUGAAUGGAGGACCGAACCGACUUACGUUGAAAAGUGAACGGAUGAACUGAGGGUAGCGGAGAAAUUCCAAUCGAACCUGGAGAUAGCUGGUUCUCUCCGAAAUAGCUUUAGGGCUAGCCUCAAGUGAUGAUUAUUGGAGGUAGAGCACUGUUUGGACGAGGGGCCCCUCUCGGGUUACCGAAUUCAGACAAACUCCGAAUGCCAAUUAAUUUAACUUGGGAGUCAGAACAUGGGUGAUAAGGUCCGUGUUCGAAAGGGAAACAGCCCAGACCACCAGCUAAGGUCCCAAAAUAUAUGUUAAGUGGAAAAGGAUGUGGCGUUGCCCAGACAACUAGGAUGUUGGCUUAGAAGCAGCCAUCAUUUAAAGAGUGCGUAAUAGCUCACUAGUCGAGUGACACUGCGCCGAAAAUGUACCGGGGCUAAACAUAUUACCGAAGCUGUGGAUUGUCCUUUGGACAAUGGUAGGAGAGCGUUCUAAGGGCGUUGAAGCAUGAUCGUAAGGACAUGUGGAGCGCUUAGAAGUGAGAAUGCCGGUGUGAGUAGCGAAAGACGGGUGAGAAUCCCGUCCACCGAUUGACUAAGGUUUCCAGAGGAAGGCUCGUCCGCUCUGGGUUAGUCGGGUCCUAAGCUGAGGCCGACAGGCGUAGGCGAUGGAUAACAGGUUGAUAUUCCUGUACCACCUAUAAUCGUUUUAAUCGAUGGGGGGACGCAGUAGGAUAGGCGAAGCGUGCGAUUGGAUUGCACGUCUAAGCAGUAAGGCUGAGUAUUAGGCAAAUCCGGUACUCGUUAAGGCUGAGCUGUGAUGGGGAGAAGACAUUGUGUCUUCGAGUCGUUGAUUUCACACUGCCGAGAAAAGCCUCUAGAUAGAAAAUAGGUGCCCGUACCGCAAACCGACACAGGUAGUCAAGAUGAGAAUUCUAAGGUGAGCGAGCGAACUCUCGUUAAGGAACUCGGCAAAAUGACCCCGUAACUUCGGGAGAAGGGGUGCUCUUUAGGGUUAACGCCCAGAAGAGCCGCAGUGAAUAGGCCCAAGCGACUGUUUAUCAAAAACACAGGUCUCUGCUAAACCGUAAGGUGAUGUAUAGGGGCUGACGCCUGCCCGGUGCUGGAAGGUUAAGAGGAGUGGUUAGCUUCUGCGAAGCUACGAAUCGAAGCCCCAGUAAACGGCGGCCGUAACUAUAACGGUCCUAAGGUAGCGAAAUUCCUUGUCGGGUAAGUUCCGACCCGCACGAAAGGCGUAACGAUUUGGGCACUGUCUCAACGAGAGACUCGGUGAAAUCAUAGUACCUGUGAAGAUGCAGGUUACCCGCGACAGGACGGAAAGACCCCGUGGAGCUUUACUGUAGCCUGAUAUUGAAAUUCGGCACAGCUUGUACAGGAUAGGUAGGAGCCUUUGAAACGUGAGCGCUAGCUUACGUGGAGGCGCUGGUGGGAUACUACCCUAGCUGUGUUGGCUUUCUAACCCGCACCACUUAUCGUGGUGGGAGACAGUGUCAGGCGGGCAGUUUGACUGGGGCGGUCGCCUCCUAAAAGGUAACGGAGGCGCUCAAAGGUUCCCUCAGAAUGGUUGGAAAUCAUUCAUAGAGUGUAAAGGCAUAAGGGAGCUUGACUGCGAGACCUACAAGUCGAGCAGGGUCGAAAGACGGACUUAGUGAUCCGGUGGUUCCGCAUGGAAGGGCCAUCGCUCAACGGAUAAAAGCUACCCCGGGGAUAACAGGCUUAUCUCCCCCAAGAGUUCACAUCGACGGGGAGGUUUGGCACCUCGAUGUCGGCUCAUCGCAUCCUGGGGCUGUAGUCGGUCCCAAGGGUUGGGCUGUUCGCCCAUUAAAGCGGUACGCGAGCUGGGUUCAGAACGUCGUGAGACAGUUCGGUCCCUAUCCGUCGUGGGCGUAGGAAAUUUGAGAGGAGCUGUCCUUAGUACGAGAGGACCGGGAUGGACAUACCUCUGGUGUACCAGUUGUCGUGCCAACGGCAUAGCUGGGUAGCUAUGUGUGGACGGGAUAAGUGCUGAAAGCAUCUAAGCAUGAAGCCCCCCUCAAGAUGAGAUUUCCCAACUUCGGUUAUAAGAUCCCUCAAAGAUGAUGAGGUUAAUAGGUUCGAGGUGGAAGCAUGGUGACAUGUGGAGCUGACGAAUACUAAUCGAUCGAAGACUUAAUCAA